CUCCUCUCAUCACGGCAACUAAGGAAGCUCAACAUCUAAAAAAGUUGAUACAAGACUAUAUUGCUUCUUUCAUCAAAGUAGGAGAUAAGGUGGCAUCCUGCAAAGGAUGCUGCCCAGGCUUUAAAAGACUGUGUUAGAAGACUCUAUACACAUGCUUAUCAUUCUUGGAGCGAGAUUCCAAAC